rnacentral:rRNA from 1 species
UGGGGAAUAUUGGACAAUGGGCGAAAGCCUGAUCCAGCCAUGCCGCGUGUGUGAAGAAGGCCCUCGGGUUGUAAAGCACUUUCAGCGAGGAAGAACGCCUAGGGGUUAAUACCCCCUAGGAAAGACAUCACUCGCAGAAGAAGCACCGGCUAACUCCGUGCCAGCAGCCGCGGUAAUACGGGGGGUGCAAGCGUUAAUCGGAAUUACUGGGCGUAAAGCGCGCGUAGGUGGCUUGAUAAGCCGGUUGUGAAAGCCCCGGGCUCAACCUGGGAACGGCAUCCGGAACUGUCAAGCUAGAGUGCAGGAGAGGAAGGUAGAAUUCCCGGUGUAGCGGUGAAAUGCGUAGAGAUCGGGAGGAAUACCAGUGGCGAAGGCGGCCUUCUGGACUGACACUGACACUGAGGUGCGAAAGCGUGGGUAGCAAACA